rnacentral:rRNA from 1 species
AUUGAACGCUGGCGGCAGGCCUAACACAUGCAAGUCGAACGAGUAGCGGACGGGUGGGCAAUGGCUGGGAAACUGCCUGAUGGAGGGGGAUAACUACUGGAAACGGUAGAUACUACCGCAUAACAUCAGAUGGGGCCAGAUGGGAUUAGGUUGUUGGGGGGGUAACGGCUCACCAAGGCGACGAUCCCUAGCUGGUCUGAGAGGAUGAACGGCCACACUGGAACUGAGACACGGUCCAGACUCCUACGGGAGGCAGCAGUGGGGAAUAUUGCACAAUGGGCGCAAGCCUGACGCAGCCAUGCCGCGUGUAUGAAGAAGGCCUUCGGAUUGUAAAGUACUUUCAGCGGGGAGGCGUUACCCGCAGAAGAAGCACCGGCUAACUCCGUGCCAGCAGCCGCGGUAAUAC